ensembl:lncRNA
AUGCAGAAUGACCAUUAGUCCUUUUCUCCUCAUAUUUUUAAAGUCGCUGGUCCCAAUGUUGUAGUUUGAGAGUUUGUAACAAUUUAACUACUAGAGAAGCUUAGACCAAACGUAGAGCUUCUUAAAGAAAGGAUGGCGCUGAUAAAAAUCUACCAGAAAAAUUUUGUGUCUAACCACAGCACGGAGGAGAUUAUCUCUGAGUUUCCAUGUUUCAGACUGGCCAAAAUGCUCCUUUGUGAUCUGAGAGACCGUACCAACAUUGAUGUGGACCAACAGAUUCUCUCUCAGCUCUCGGUAAUGGCACCUAAAGUCCUUCAAGUUUCACGGAGUCCCCUGAUGGAGAAGUUCAGGCGUGUGGUUGAUGACUGUGAAGAUGGCAGACUGAAAAAAGGACUACCGUUAGAAGCAGCUAUUCUGCUCUUGCCUGCACUGUUUAAGGAGGACCCGGGGUUGCUGUUUAAAGUUGAGGGCCAUGCUCAGACCUGCCCUCCUGACACACCAACACCUAAAAUGGUUCUCAAAGGCUGCAGGGAGGGUCAUCCCAUGCAAUACGACCACAUUGUCAUCAUGUUGGAUGGCCAGUCCAUUACUGAGGAGAGUGAGGACAUCUCAAUGGCACUGGGCCUCAUCCUUUGUAUAUAUUUUCUGUUUGGGAUCCAAUAUCCUAAACGACUGAAAAAGACACUGACCUUCCUGGAGUGCGUUGUCUUAAAAAUGAAGGAUGCAGCCGGACUUCCUGUCACAAUUAAAAGAGUGUACAACUCAAUCUGUGCAUAGAGUCUCUCUCUCUCUCUCUCUCUCUCUCUCUUUA